GUGAAGCUGGUGAGUAAUUGGGCUAAAUAAGAAUUUUCCCCAGGUGAAAAUGGGGACCCGAACUGAAAAUGGAGGAAACCCACCUCCUGAGUCUUUGGUGAAAGAGUGAAGCUACAUUCCAGACUACGACUUUAUGACCUUUCUAUCACUUGGUAAGGAGUGAUCCCAAAAAGUGGCGUGAUCCUUGCAAGUGAGUAAGAUGCCUGCCUUCCUGGAGGCCCGGAGAAAUUGAGGGAGGGAAAGCGUCCUUCAAGAUGCGGAAUCACGCAAGGCAGUGGGACUAGGAAUCCCUUUUAAAGUUUCUCUAAAUCACUUAAAGUCAUCUAUCCUUCGUCAUGAGAAGAUACCUGUUGGAACAGAAGUAAAGAUCACUUAUUCACUGACGUGCCUAGCUUCUCAAUUUCCAAGUGUGAAACUACGUCAAGGAGAAUGCAAUAUGAACAGAAGUUGUGAGAGGGAAGAUGUUAAAGAGAAAGAUACAAUGAUCGGCAAACAACUGAAGAAAAUAGCUGCCUCUCUCUCCAGUCAGAUCACCUAAAUUAGCCAAGUUGAUAAUCAUAUGGAAAAGAAUCAACCUCAAUCUCACACCAUAUAUAAAAACUAACUUCAAAUGGAUCAUAAACUUAAGAAUUGCUUUUGUUGCUUUUUGUUUGCUUGCUGCUGUAGAAAUACAUCAGGACUAAUUCUGCGGAGUCUGUCUCCUUUGAAGUGACUGGCCACUGAUGUCUCCACUUCAUUUAUUUGUUUAAGUCUGGAUUCCUAUAAUGUGUCCUUCUGUAUGCAAAGCUUCAGAGUCAACCAGUGACUGGUCUUAAUUUUCAUUGAAACUGGAAAAAAUACAUGAUUUGCUGAGUGCUAAGAGGAAGUGAUGGUGUAUUUUGGUAAGAAACUUGAAAGCAGAGACAUUUUGAAGUAGACUUUUUUGGAGAAUGUAGGAAUAAGCUAAUUGAUAGAUGUGUCAACUAGAGUUGAGAUCUUCCUUUUUGAGCUCUAU
rnacentral:lncRNA from 1 species